rnacentral:rRNA from 1 species
GUGGGGAAUCUUGGGCAAUGGGCGAAAGCCUGACGCAGCCAUGCCGCGUGAAUGAUGAAGGUCUUAGGAUUGUAAAAUUCUUUCACCGGGGACGAUAAUGACGGUACCCGGAGAAGAAGCCCCGGCUAACUUCGUGCCAGCAGCCGCGGUAAUACGAAGGGGGCUAGCGUUGCUCGGAAUUACUGGGCGUAAAGGGCGCGUAGGCGGACAGUUUAGUCAGAGGUGAAAGCCCAGGGCUCAACCUUGGAAUUGCCUUUGAUACUGGCUGUCUUGAGUACGGGAGAGGUGAGUGGAACUCCGAGUGUAGAGGUGAAAUUCGUAGAUAUUCGGAAGAACACCAGUGGCGAAGGCGACUCACUGGCCCGUUACUGACGCUGAGGCGCGAAAGCGUGGGGAGCAAACAGGAUUAGAAACCCGUGUAGUCC